rnacentral:rRNA from 1 species
UACAGAGGGUGCGAACGUUGCUCGGAAUUACUGGGCGUAAAGCGUGCGUAGGCGGUUCGUUAAGUCUGUCGUGAAAGCCCUGGGCUCAACCUGGGAAUUGCGAUGGAUACUGGCGAGCUAGAGUACGGUAGAGGAUGGUGGAAUUCCCGGUGUAGCGGUGAAAUGCGUAGAGAUCGGGAGGAACACCCGUGGCGAAGGCGGCCAUCUGGACCAGUACUGACGCUGAGGCACGAAAGCGUGGGGAGCAAACAGG